UCUUCUCGCUGAGGCAGACGGCGGUGCCGUGGAGCAGGGCGUGCAGCGGCUUCUCUUCGCCCUGCCGCGGGAGGCAGCGGAGCCCGCGGGCGCAGCGCUCGGUGUAGACGCCGCAGGGCUGGCCGGCGGGCAGGGCGCAGGAAGAGAAACAGUCCCUCCCGACGCAGCGAGGUGCUGGGAAGCCUGGUAUGAAGCAAAGUUGUGUUUCGAUCGGCUCUGUUCAACCCUCCCGCUUUCCUCUUCCAGGAUUUGCAAAGGCAAAAUAAAGCCGGAAAAAAAAAAAAGAAAAAAAAAA